GAUGAACGCUAGCGGCAGGCUUAAUACAUGCAAGUCGAGGGGCAGCAUGAUUGUAGCAAUACAAUUGAUGGCGACCGGCAAACGGGUGCGGAACACGUACACAACCUCCCAAUAAGUGGGGAAUAGCCCAGAGAAAUUUGGAUUAAUACCCCGUAACAUAACGAUGUGGCAUCACAUUGUUAUUAUAGAUUUUUCGCUUAUUGAUGGGUGUGCGGCUGAUUAGAUAGUUGGCGGGGUAACGGCCCACCAAGUCUACGAUCAGUAGCUGAUGUGAGAGCAUGAUCAGCCACACGGGCACUGAGACACGGGCCCGACUCCUACGGGAGGCAGCAGUAAGGAAUAUUGGACAAUGGACGCAAGUCUGAUCCAGCCACGCCGCGUGAAGGAUUAAGGUCCUCUGAAUUGUAAACUUCUUUUAUAAGGGACGAAAAAAGGCUUUUCUAAGUCGUCUGACGGUACCUUAUGAAUAAGCACCGGCUAACUCCGUGCCAGCCGCCGCGGUAAGAC
rnacentral:rRNA from 1 species